rnacentral:lncRNA from 1 species
CAAGAAACCCAGGCGAUAACCCUUUCCCACUUAUCUUUGAGAAAGGUGGGUGGGGACCCCUUCAAAAGGACCCAGCCCAGAGUAUCGCAGAUUACAACAGGUGUUCACUUAAUGCUUAUUGCAAGGAAUCCUCCUUAGAAACUACUCCUGUGGCGGAAAGAAACGUCAGUAGUGACUACAGCACGAUGCACGAUGAAACCUGACUCUUCUACCUCCUUGUGCAGUUUGAUGCUGGUGUCAUUCCCCAGCAGAUUUGAAAGCUGAAAGCAUUGCCAGCCAGCAGAGGGAGAACAAGUUAACUACAAAUCCCUAUUUAUAGAACUGUACUGACUUCCUUGAUGACAUUUUAUGAAUGACACUAAUGACACAACAUAAAUAAAUAAAGGCGCUUCUCAUUACCAUGAGCUUCUGCUUAAACUAAACAGUAGUCUUUCACUGAAGAAAAAGUGAACUGAAGGUGGUGGAUCAAGCUUAUAAAUGGAAAAAGGAAAAAAAACAGAGGAGAGAAGAAAUGAAAAGCUUUAAAACUAUGGAAGGCAGGGCAGCAUCCCAUGAAGAUUUGAAUAUAUGGCAUGCAUUUGGCUGACAUGCAUUGUUUCAUUGGGUUCGAGCAAGUGCAAUUGCUCAGGAUGCUGAUCAGAACUACGACUAUGCCAGUAACAGUGUGGUCCUUCAUUUGGAGCCAGGAGA